AAGCAGGGUGUCGGGAGGCGGGGGGUGGGGUUUGGGGGGAACCCACCUAACUGACUCACUAAAUGAAGGUAAAGGGAUGUGGGUAGUGGGGGGAGCCGAGGGGCGACUUGAAAAUUAAACUGACCCCUCCUAAAUCCCAAGUAGAAGAGUCUAUGCACAUGAAAGAAACCAACACACAAAGAAAACUAAAGCGCUGAUCAAAGAACAAUAGGGCCCCCGCCAGGGCAGAGGUUCCCUAGGCAACGAGGGAGAGAGGGAGGGACCUCCAGAAGGGAGAGAGAGAAACCCGUUGCCCCAGGUUCGGUGAAGUCAGGGAGACCUCCCUCCGUGUGACCUCAACUUUCAAUAACAGUGGCCGCUAGGUGAUGCCCGAAGACAACCGAUGCCUGCAAAUGUCAGUCAGCACGGAAAAGAAUGUACUGUACUCUGGAGGCUGAGGUGGAAGGAUCACUGGAGUCCAGGAGCGUCCACGCUGCAGUGAGUCCAAGGUACACCCCGGGAGACGGCAAGAGAAACGUUCACACCGUGCUUUCCGUCUUCGUGUUUAUCUCUUUCAUCUUUUCCAUUUUACGAGAGAUGCUCAUUUCAACAAGCAGACGGCGGAUGUGACGGGAGAAGUGUCAAGGCCAGGAGUUUGAGACCAGCGUGAGCAACAGAGCAACACAAGUAGGAGAGCCCAGCUGAAAGAAAUGAAAGAGGAGGAGGAGGAGGACAUGGGAGGCUGGGGGUGGGGGUAGGGGGGAGGAGAAGGAAAGAAAGAAAAGAAAAGAAAAGAAAAGAAAAGAAAAAGAAAAACAACCACCAAGAAAGUUAAAAUUCUCCAAUGGUCAGAAGUUCAAGACCAGCCUGACCAAGAUGGAGAAACCCCAUCUGUAC
rnacentral:lncRNA from 1 species